UGGGGGAAACCCUGAUGCAGCCAUGCCGCGUGUGUGAAGAAGGCCUUCGGGUUGUAAAGCACUUUCAUCGAGGAGGAAAGGUUGGCGCCUAAUACAUGUCAACUGUGACGUUACUCGCACAAAAAGCACCGGCUAACUCCGUGCCAGCACCCGCGGUAAUACGGAGGGUGCAAGCGUUAAUCGGAAUUACUGGGCGUAAAG
rnacentral:rRNA from 1 species